ACGCUCGACACCUACGGGAGGCAGCAGUGGGGAAUAUUGCACAAUGGGGGAAACCCUGAUGCAGCGACGCCGCGUGGAGGAAGAAGGUCUUCGGAUUGUAAACUCCUGUUGUUGGGGAAAAAGAGGAUGGUACCCCAACAAGGAAGUGACGGCUAACUACGUGCCAUCAGCCGCGGUAAUCUGAGCGGGCUGGCAAGGC
rnacentral:rRNA from 1 species